ensembl:misc_RNA Metazoa_SRP Metazoan signal recognition particle RNA
GCCGGGCAUGGUAAUGCAUGCCUGUAAUCCCAGCUACUUGGGAGGCUGAGACAGAAGAAUCACUUGAACCUGGGAGGCGGAGGUUGCAGUGAGCCAGGAUCAUGUCACUGCACUCCAUCCUGGGUGACAGAGCGAGACUCUGUCUCAA